rnacentral:rRNA from 1 species
UCGAUGAAGAACGCAGCGAAAUGCGAUAAGUAAUGUGAAUUGCAGAAUUCAGUGAAUCAUCGAAUCUUUGAACGCACCUUGCGCCCCUUGGCUAUUCCGAGGGGCAUGCCUGUUUGAGUAUCAUGAACACCUCAACUCUUGUGGUUCGCCAUGAAGAGCUUGGACUUGGGGGCUUGCUGGCGCACAGCCGGCUCCUCUCAAAUGAAUUAGCCUGCCAGUGUUUGGUGGCGUCACGGGUGUGAUAACUAUUUACGCUUGUGGUUGCCUGCCAGGUAACCUUCGGUGACGGAGGUUCGCUGGAGCUUAUAAACGUCUUUCCUUGGUGAAGACAGCUUUUUGAACGUUCGAUCUCAAAUCAGGUAGGACUACCCGCUGAACUUAA